UUUAGGCCGAGAUUAUCGAGCUUUUCGUGAAAUUCUAAGCCCAUCCGAACAAAUGGGCUUUAUUGUUGUUCAUAGUGAAGCCCAUUGGCGUAACAAGAGCACAAGACAAGACAAACAUCAAAAAACAAAAGUGGUAAUGAUACAACGCCUCAUGGAUUUAACGCUCAAUUUUCUUCAUGCUUUUGGAGUAACUGUCGCUAGUUGGGCCUUUACACGGUGUUGCUGACAAAGACAAGUUAUGUCACCUAUCCCCCAAAGUUUUCUAACACCUUGUACUUUCAUAUUUCCCCCAACCGCCUCAUGAAUCAUGAUAUCCACUAUCCAGAAAAAAAAUGGAAAGUCAUCUAGCCUCUGCGCUUUUCGAGGGAAGAACAAGGUGCCAAACUACAAACAAAGGCAGAUGCGAUGGAGUCUAAGCACAGAAACAAACCACACAACACACAAAGCAUAUCCCAUAACAAUAUAAGAAGAAAAACAUGAAGGGAAGGAUGGUGGUGGUACCCAGACCAGUUUGGUUGCCAUCAUGACACAGGCCUGCCAUCAACCGUGGUGACCUCCCUCUGCUUCAUGUUGUGAUAGACAUAGAGAGGCCAUCACUCCAUCCACCUCCGAUAGGCAAGAAGCUUGUGAAUGCCUUGGACAAGCCCAAACCUCAAGGAAGAUGCAGCAUCAACAUCCAGUAAGAGUGGCGCCUGGAAAAGAACAGUAUGGAGAAUAAAGCCCUCUUUUGACAUAUUCCGUAUCUUCUGUAGAAUAAAUACCCAUUUGUAAUGUUAUGGCUGUGUGUGACAUGUAAUGAAUCAA